GCAUUGAUGAUUCAGUGGUAGAAUUCUCAGCUUCCACGCAGGAGAUCUGGGUUCAGUUCCCAGCCAGUGCA
rnacentral:tRNA from 1 species